CUCAUGGCGGCCCUGUAUGCUGCUAUUCCCCAAUCUAUCUUUUGGCCUACACAUAGAAAAACUCUCAUCAAAACUUUAUCCAAAACUAGGUGCCCUGUACAGAAACAAAUCCUGCCUAAGCCCUACAUUAAAGGAAAAGAUUGUACAGCAAAUGCUGAUGCCAUUCAUUGAUUAUGGGGAUGUAGUAUAUGCACUAGCACCGCAAUCCCACAUUAAUAAACUGAAAACAUUAUAACCUGUUCUGCCGAUUUGUGCUACAAUGUAAUUACAUGACCCACCAUUGUGACAUGCUAAAAGAACUAAACUGGCUGCCGCUGGAAUCCAGACGCACCCUUCAUCUUUCCAGCCUUGUGUUUAAGAGCUUUUCUGCAUUUUAUUGUACCCUAUUCUGCAGAGUUUGUGGACAUACUUGAAAAGAAGAGAAAUCUCAAUGUAUCCUUCCUGGUAAAAUAUUUUAUAAAUAAAUAUUUGUAAUGGGUACUCUCAAGACCCAUACUAGAUUGUAAGCUUGUUUGUGCAGGUUCCUCAUAAACCUACUGUUUAUGUAACAUUUUUAAAUUGUCUCAUUUAUUGUUAAAUUUCCCCCUUUAUGCUAUUGAGAAGCUUUGCGGAAUAAGUUGGUGCGAUACAAAUGCUAAUAAUAAUACCUCUGUCCUCCUCUCCCCCCCCUUUCGGGCAAACUAGGAGUUAAGGUAAUAUUUUAGCUGAACUGUGCUCUUUGUGAGCGAUUCAGUUGCUGCUUGCUUGCUUUUGUAACGCUGACUUCACC